GACCAAUCUCUCAUUCCAUCUUCUAGAGAAUCUUGGAUAACUGAUUGGUGCUUCCAUGUGUUCCUAAAUUGGCAUGACUGACUGAAUGAGAAGUUAUGUCCUUCAAGAAAAAGGGCUUACGGUCAACAAGAUUCCUUGUUUGCUAACCCAUUGGCUGCUACCCUUGAAUCUCCCUAUUUGUCAACAACAAAAAAAGAGGUUGAAUAUUGUGAUCAUGUUAUCAUCAUUACCAAUUGUGGGGCAUCUGGUUAUCCCUCCAAAAUAAGGCAAUGACCACACGUUCAACGCAGAUCAUUCGUUUUGUCAUCGAACUUGACUCAUUCCCUGUCAUUUAGGUAAUGACCGAGAAGAUGCGGCCUACAUGAACAUCAUUUAGGCGGCCAGCAUCGUUCGACUACUCAAUCGGCUUCUACUACCCUGCUCUCAACAUAGCAAGGAGUUUCACCCUUUAGAUUUUUGGCUGUUCGCGAUGUGUGAUGGCGUUUCCUUGGACGAGAUGAUGAUUUUGGUGAGA